GAUGAAGAACGCAGCGAAAUGCGAUAAGUAAUGUGAAUUGCAGAAUUCAGUGAAUCAUCGAAUCUUUGAACGCACCUUGCGCCCUUUAGCUAUUCCGAAGGGCAUGCCUGUUUGAGUAUCAUGAACACCCCAACUCUCAUGGUUUGCCAUGAUGAGCUUGGACUUUGGGGGUCUUGCCGGCCUAUGGGUCGGCUCCUCUCAAAUUAAUCAGCUUGCCAGUGUUUGGUGGCAUCACAGGUGUGAUAACUAUCUACGCUUGUGGUUUUCCAUCAGGUAACCUUCAGUGAUGGAGGUUCGCUGGGGCUCAUAAAUGUCUCUCCUCAGUGAGGACAGCUUUUUUGAACGUUUGAUCUCAAAUCAGGUAGGACUACCCGCUGAACUUAAGCAUAUCAAUAAGCGGAGGA
rnacentral:misc_RNA from 1 species